GAAAAAAGAUUGGAUGGAGCCUACAACUUCUUCACCAAGUAUAGUCCAGGCAGCCUUGUAGAAACCUGAGUUGUAAGAGGCAGCAAUAGUCUGGCUGUGAGAAGGAUUUGAAGGCGAAAUAAAAGGGCUGAGGAUACUUCUGAAGUGGGAAAGAGCAAGUUCUCCAAUCUCUUUCGGGGUAGUUGCAAUGACGCCAUCCAAGCCAAGUAGUGAAUGAAUAGCAUUAAGGCUUCCUCAAUUCCCCUGAGCAUUGCUAACUUUUCUAGGCAUUUCUUCUCUUCCUCAAAAUUGGAAAUUGUUGGCUGG